GACGAACGCUGGCGGCGUGCUUAACACAUGCAAGUCGAACGGAAAGGCCCUGCUUUUGUGGGGUGCUCGAGUGGCGAACGGGUGAGUAACACGUGAGUAACCUGCCCUUGACUUUGGGAUAACUUCAGGAAACUGGGGCUAAUACCGGAUAGGAGCUCCUGCUGCAUGGUGGGGGUUGGAAAGUUUCGGCGGUUGGGGAUGGACUGGCGGCUUAUCAGCUUGUUGGUGGGGUAGUGGCUUACCAAGGCUUUGACGGGUAGCCGGCCUGAGAGGGUGACCGGCCACAUUGGGACUGAGAUACGGCCCAGACUCCUACGGGAGGCAGCAGUGGGGAAUAUUGCACAAUGGGCGGAAGCCUGAUGCAGCAACGCCGCGUGCGGGAUGACGGCCUGCGGGUUGUAAACCGCUUUCGCCUGUGACGAAGCGUGAGUGACGGUAAUGGGUAAAGAAGCACCGGCUAACUACGUG
rnacentral:rRNA from 1 species